GAAGUUUUGACCUCUGAUUUUGAAGGUUGUUAUUGAGUUGGAUGAUAAGAAUGAGAAAGCUUGGUUUAGAAACGGACAAGCUUGCAUGAAACUGAAGGAGAUAGACAACGCUUUGGAAAGCUUUAAGAAGGUUUCUACACUAAGCAACGGAACGAACAAGGAAGCUGAGAAACUAUUGAAGGAAUGUCAGCUACAGCUGGAAGAUCAACGAUUGAAGGAGAAGAAGAUUUAUCAGGAUAUGUUCAAACCUAGAAGUUCCUAAUUAGAGACAGUAAACCGAUCAUCUUCAUUCUUCAAGAUGUAUACUCUUUCAGGCUGUUUUUUUUAUCUUUUUGUGUAAACGGAUUUUUUUUAACUUAAAGGGAGUAGUCUCGAAAUUUCAUUCCAGGAUUAAUAAACUUAUGGACAAUUAUUCUCAAUACUUAACAUUGGUUGUGGAAUCUCCCUUAAAGUUGAGUCUUGUUAUUUCAUCCGUUCAUUUGAAACUAAUCUGUGAUCUCGGCAUUGUUUUUUACUGUUUUCUGAAAAAAUGUUAGAAGUCAUUAUUUCUUGAUUAAAACAUUAAGAUAUUAGAUAAACUGGCUGAAGGUAGUUUGAUGAAUGUUUUAACAAAAAUAAGUUCUUCUCAAAUAUUUCAGAA